CACCGCGGUUAUACGAGGGACCCAAAUUGAUAGCUAAACGGCGUAAAGGGUGGUUAGAAAAAUAUAUACUAGGGCCGAACUUGCCCCUGACUGUUAUACGUUACGGAAUAAAGAAGAUCACAAACGAAAGUCGCCCUAAAUAAUUGAAUCCACUAAAGCUGAGAAA
rnacentral:rRNA from 1 species